UUCCCAUUCUGUCUGGUGCAGACUAUAUUAAUCGAUCCCUUGUGAUGCUCUAAUGCUCAGUGAAGGAGUCAGAGCACAGCUGCCUGUAUUCCUAGCCUGUGCUCUGACUUCCUCAGUGCCGCACCAUAAGCAGGUGGUCUGCACUCCACCACUGGACCACCAGGAAUUCUUUAGUAAGGCUACUGGACCACCAAGGAUUUGUCAUUAAUGGAACACUACAAACACCAUAACCACUACAGCUUUAUUUAGGUCCACUGGGCACCACUCAACUUCCAUGUCCUCAGAGCUGGAAGUUCCUCAGGAACUUCCGUU